UUCACGACAAUAUAAUUAACCAAUCAAAAUUCAUUAUUUAUAUAAACUACUUUAGAGACUAUGCACAACAAUUUAACUUUAUUUAUUCAUUUACAAAGCUAGGCUGCUUUUAUCUUUUUGCAUAAUUAAUCAUUUUGGACUUUGCUGGAUCAUUAUGCCUCUUCCCUCAAAUGCACAUACAUUUAUUGUAAUUGAUGCAUACAUAUUUGUCACGGGCACAAACUUAGUAUAGGUCAAUCCACAUAUAUAAAUAUUCUUCUUGGCAGUCAUGAGGCCGUGAUGCUCCUGUUGAGUUAAAAAUGUAUUACAUAUGCAAAGAAGGGGG
rnacentral:lncRNA from 1 species